rnacentral:rRNA from 1 species
GGGUUGUGAGGUUAAGCGACUAAGCGUACACGGUGGAUGCCCUGGCAGUCAGAGGCGAUGAAGGACGUGCUAAUCUGCGAAAAGCGUCGGUAAGGUGAUAUGAACCGUUACAGCCGGCGAUGUCCGAAUGGGGAAACCCAGUGCAAUUCGUUGCACUAUCGUUAACUGAAUACAUAGGUUAACGAGGCGAACCGGGGGAACUGAAACAUCUAAGUACCCCGAGGAAAAGAAAUCAACCGAGAUUCCCCCAGUAGCGGCGAGCGAACGGGGAGCAGCCCAGAGUCUGAAUCAGCUUGUGUGUUAGUGGAACGGUCUGGAAAGUCCGACGGUACAGGGUGAUAGUCCCGUACACCAAAAUGCACAGGUUGUGAACUCGAAGAGUAGGGCGGGACACGUGGUAUCCUGUCUGAAUAUGGGGGGACCAUCCUCCAAGGCUAAAUACUCCUGACUGACCGAUAGUGAACCAGUACCGUGAGGGAAAGGCGAAAAGAACCCCGGCGAGGGGAGUGAAAAAGAACCUGAAACCGUGUACGUACAAGCAGUGGGAGCACCUUCGGGUGUGACUGCGUACCUUUUGUAUAAUGGGUCAGCGACUUAUAUUCUGUAGCAAGGUUAACCGUAUAGGGGAGCCGCAGGGAAACCGAGUCUUAACUGGGCGUUAAGUUGCAGGGUAUAGACCCGAAACCCGGUGAUCUAGCCAUGGGCAGGUUGAAGGUUGGGUAACACUAACUGGAGGACCGAACCGACUAAUGUUGAAAAAUUAGCGGAUGACUUGUGGCUGGGGGUGAAAGGCCAAUCAAACCGGGAGAUAGCUGGUUCUCCCCGAAAGCUAUUUAGGUAGCGCCUCGUGAAUUCAUCUUCGGGGGUAGAGCACUGUUUCGGCUAGGGGGUCAUCCCGACUUACCAACCCGAUGCAAACUACGAAUACCGAAGAAUGUUAUCACGGGAGACACACGGCGGGUGCUAACGUCCGUCGUGAAGAGGGAAACAACCCAGACCGCCAGCUAAGGUCCCAAAGUCAUGGUUAAGUGGGAAACGAUGUGGGAAGGCACAGACAGCCAGGAUGUUGGCUUAGAAGCAGCCAUCAUUUAAAGAAAGCGUAAUAGCUCACUGGUCGAGUCGGCCUGCGCGGAAGAUGUAACGGGGCUAAACCAUGCACCGAAGCUGCGGCAGCGACACUAUGUGUUGUUGGGUAGGGGAGCGUUCUGUAAGCCUGCGAAGGUGACCUGUGAGGGUUGCUGGAGGUAUCAGAAGUGCGAAUGCUGACAUAAGUAACGAUAAAGCGGGUGAAAAGCCCGCUCGCCGGAAGACCAAGGGUUCCUGUCCAACGUUAAUCGGGGCAGGGUGAGUCGACCCCUAAGGCGAGGCCGAAAGGCGUAGUCGAUGGGAAACAGGUUAAUAUUCCUGUACUUGGUGUUACUGCGAAGGGGGGACGGAGAAGGCUAUGUUAGCCGGGCGACGGUUGUCCCGGUUUAAGCAUGUAGGCUGGUUAUCCAGGCAAAUCCGGAUAAUCAAGGCUGAGGUGUGAUGACGAGGCACUACGGUGCUGAAGUAACAAAUGCCCUGCUUCCAGGAAAAGCCUCUAAGCAUCAGGUAACAUUAAAUCGUACCCCAAACCGACACAGGUGGUCAGGUAGAGAAUACCAAGGCGCUUGAGAGAACUCGGGUGAAGGAACUAGGCAAAAUGGUGCCGUAACUUCGGGAGAAGGCACGCUGGUGUGUAGGUGAAGUCCCUGCGGAUGGAGCUGAGACCAGUCGAAGAUACCAGCUGGCUGCAACUGUUUAUUAAAAACACAGCACUGUGCAAACACGAAAGUGGACGUAUACGGUGUGACGCCUGCCCGGUGCCGGAAGGUUAAUUGAUGGGGUUAUCCGUAAGGAGAAGCUCUUGAUCGAAGCCCCGGUAAACGGCGGCCGUAACUAUAACGGUCCUAAGGUAGCGAAAUUCCUUGUCGGGUAAGUUCCGACCUGCACGAAUGGCGUAAUGAUGGCCAGGCUGUCUCCACCCGAGACUCAGUGAAAUUGAACUCGCUGUGAAGAUGCAGUGUACCCGCGGCAAGACGGAAAGACCCCGUGAACCUUUACUAUAGCUUGACACUGAACAUUGAGCCUUGAUGUGUAGGAUAGGUGGGAGGCUUUGAAGCGUGGACGCCAGUCUGCGUGGAGCCAACCUUGAAAUACCACCCUUUAAUGUUUGAUGUUCUAACGUUGGCCCCUUACCGGGGUUGCGGACAGUGUCUGGUGGGUAGUUUGACUGGGGCGGUCUCCUCCCAAAGCGUAACGGAGGAGCACGAAGGUUAGCUAAUCCUGGUCGGACAUCAGGAGGUUAGUGCAAUGGCAUAAGCUAGCUUGACUGCGAGCGUGACGGCGCGAGCAGGUGCGAAAGCAGGUCAUAGUGAUCCGGUGGUUCUGAAUGGAAGGGCCAUCGCUCAACGGAUAAAAGGUACUCCGGGGAUAACAGGCUGAUACCGCCCAAGAGUUCAUAUCGACGGCGGUGUUUGGCACCUCGAUGUCGGCUCAUCACAUCCUGGGGCUGAAGUAGGUCCCAAGGGUAUGGCUGUUCGCCAUUUAAAGUGGUACGCGAGCUGGGUUUAGAACGUCGUGAGACAGUUCGGUCCCUAUCUGCCGUGGGCGCUGGAGAAUUGAGGGGGGCUGCUCCUAGUACGAGAGGACCGGAGUGGACGCAUCACUGGUGUUCGGGUUGUCAUGCCAAUGGCACUGCCCGGUAGCUAAAUGCGGAAGAGAUAAGUGCUGAAAGCAUCUAAGCACGAAACUUGCCCCGAGAUGAGUUCUCCCUGAGACUUUAAGUCUCCUGAAGGAACGUUAAAGACGAUGACGUUGAUAGGCCGGGUGUGUAAGCGCAGCGAUGCGUUGAGCUAACCGGUACUAAUGAACCGUGAGGCUUAACCUUACAACGCCGAAG